rnacentral:lncRNA from 1 species
CUUUCUGCGUCUUUAGUCAGAGUACGCUGUUUACCUGGUUGGCUGCCUCUCUUAUUUGGUCCCUUGGUGGCAGGGGCUAAUGGCUCUAUAUAAGACAUGCGCAUUCAUCUACCAACGACAUCUGUGCAGAGCAUGGAACAGCGUAGGUUUGUAAUUGCUCGCUACCCUGAGCUAGGGAAAAUGAACUUCUGACAUUUUGGAGGAAACAGACUUAGCUUCUUUGGUAAGGAACUGCAUACACAGUGGAGAAGAAGACAGAAAAGGCUGUGGCCUGAUGAAGCUUACAUUCAGACAGACAACUCACAAUUCUGAUGACUGGAAAGUCCAAGAUCAUGGCACUGGCAUUUGCUCAGCAUCUGGUGAGGGCCACGUACUGUGUCAAGACAUGGUAGAGACAUGGAAAGGGGCUCUACCGAGUUGCUGGAAUAGUUGGUGUGUGUCAGAUAUUAUCGUAAGACUUGGGGAAGGUAAUCCUGGGCUUUACAAG